AUGCUUUCAUUUUUCUUCAGAAUGAAUAAUUUUUAUUUUUGCCAUUUGCUAAAAGUUUCCAUGAAGAGGAACAGUCUGAGUUGGUAACCAAAUUUUUUGAAGUCUUGCUUAGGCAGGGCU